CGAGUUAUCUGAACCUUCGGGGAACGAUAACGGCGUCGAGCGGCGGACGGGUGAGUAAUGCCUAGGAAAUUGCCCUGAUGUGGGGGAUAACCAUUGGAAACGAUGGCUAAUACCGCAUAAUGCCUACGGGCCAAAGAGGGGGACCUUCGGGCCUCUCGCGUCAGGAUAUGCCUAGGUGGGAUUAGCUAGUUGGUGAGGUAAUGGCUCACCAAGGCGACGAUCCCUAGCUGGUCUGAGAGGAUGAUCAGCCACACUGGAACUGAGACACGGUCCAGACUCCUACGGGAGGCAGCAGUGGGGAAUAUUGCACAAUGGGCGCAAGCCUGAUGCAGCCAUGCCGCGUGUGUGAAGAAGGCCUUCGGGUUGUAAAGCACUUUCAGUCGUGAGGAAGGUAGUGUAGUUAAUAGCUGCAUUAUUUGACGUUAGCGACAGAAGAAGCACCGGCUAACUCCGUGCCAGCAGCCGCGGUAAUACGGAGGGUGCGAGCGUUAAUCGGAAUUACUGGGCGUAAAGCGCAUGCAGGUGGUUUGUUAAGUCAGAUGUGAAAGCCCGGGGCUCAACCUCGGAAUUGCAUUUGAAACUGGCAGACUAGAGUACUGUAGAGGGGGGUAGAAUUUCAGGUGUAGCGGUGAAAUGCGUAGAGAUCUGAAGGAAUACCGGUGGCGAAGG
rnacentral:rRNA from 1 species